rnacentral:lncRNA from 1 species
GCAGACCCCAAACCCCGGAGCCGGCGUCCCGGCCCACCCCGCCCUCCGCGCCCCCCGACGGCAGCGGCGGCCGGCAUUCCGGAGCAGCGCGUCGGAGCGGCAACUUCGCGCCCGGGCGCCCGCACCUCGCGGCCCGGCGGGCGGGAGACAAAAGCUGCGGCGCCGCCGGAGGCCGCGCGGCCAAGGCUCGGUGCUGGGCGCUGGGGAUACACAGGUGACCCGGUGGACUUGGUGCCCACUGCCCUGGAGCAGACAGUCUGGUGGACAAGACAGGCACUGAUUGGUGUGAUAUAAGUCACUGUUGCACCAGACCAACUCUGCCUGCCAAAAACAACCCUAAAAUAAAGAGCAUAGAUGAUGACGUCCUUGCUUCAAUGUACCACUUCCCAGCGCUUGAAACACAAAGAUGUGUUACAAAGGAAAAUCAUAGAGUCCCCUUCAGAAAGUGACGCUGUGUACAGGCAGAGGCGAAGAUGUCUAACCAGGUAGGACACAAGUACAGUCCAGUACAGGAAUGACCUCCAUCAGAAGGGACACAGUGCAAACUAUCUCCAUAUUAAGCAAUCAAAGGUACUUAGAGAUUAUCAUCACUCACAGGGUUCUGAGCACCUGUGGUAUGCUGUGCACUGGGUCAUGGCCUCCUCCUACAACAGUCACCAGAGCAUCAAAUAUAUGCAGUUUUAAUCAGUGAAUAUGCCAUGUGCCUGGCACAGCACGAGACAUCUCAGGCGUAUAAGGG